rnacentral:misc_RNA from 1 species
CGGCGACUGCCUUCGGGCCCACUUUUUGGGUGGGAACCAUGUCGGUGUAUGGAUGCGGAGAAUUCAGUUUUAGUACAAAUUCGGCGCAGGAACGAGCAACGCGUCUCUUGCCGACCACAAAGUGCCGCGUGAUGUUCCCCCCAAAAUCCGGACCAACUCCGCUUCCGAUCUCGCUGGCGCUGCCUGUUUCGGAUCGCAUAGCGGACCAGGAGCGCCUGUUGCCGGUACCCCUCGCCGACAGCCUGGACCUCGACCUGGACGUGGACUUCAAUCUGAAUCUGAAUGUAGACGGCAGGCGCCAGGUGCUCUUCGAGGGCUAUUCGAACGAGCUGCUGACCAUCGCCUGGGUAGCCUGCAUAGUGUUCAUCAUCGUGGGUGUUCCCGGAAAUUUACUGACCAUAGUGGCCCUGUCGCGGGGUCGUCAGACCCGCAACUCCACGGCCAUAUUUAUCAUCAACUUGUCCUGCUCGGAUCUGCUCUUCGGCUGCUUUAAUCUGCCACUGGCCGCCUCCACUUUCAAGGAGCGGGCCUGGACCCAUAGUGAUCUGCUGUGCAGGCUGUUUCCGAUGCUGCGGUAUGGGUUGCUGGCGGUGUCACUACUCUCCGUGUCGCUGAUCACCAUCAACCGGUACAUCAUUAUCGCCCAUCCCAGGCAGUAUCCAAGAAUCUACCAGCGACGAUAUUUGGCUUUGAUGGUAGCCGGCACAUGGGUCACCACGUUUUCCAUAAUGAUACCCACCUGGCGAGGCGUGUGGGGUAUCUUUGGCUUGGACGUCAGCAUCGGAUCCUGUUCCAUCAUGCACGAUCGGUAUGGCAGAUCCCCCAAGGAGUUCCUCUUCAUCGCCGCCUUCAUGGUGCCCUGCAUCUGCAUCGUGAUCUGUUAUGCCCGAAUCUUCCUGCUGGUGCGAAAGGCGGCCAUUCGCGCGGGAACCGCUGGCAAGAGCAAUGUCUGUGAUGUGAGCGCCACCUCCGCGACGCAGCAUCAGACCCAAGCCACGGCCAUGCCAAAGAAGCCGGAGAAGGUGAACACGUGCAGCGUCGAGGCGCACGACCCAAUCGCAGGACGACCCUUUGUGGUGGAGGAGCACCUGGCGUAUAUCGAUGACAAUGCUUCGGCGGACAGUCUACCCAUCUCGUACAGCAUAAGGAGGAGGGAGCAGGACCAGCAGUCACCGCCAGUAGAUGCCAAUGUGGUGCUGAAGGAGCGGGAGCGGGAUCGGGAUCGAGAUCAGGAAAAAGUCAGCCUGGGACGCAGUCAUACGCAACUAGAGAUUGGCAAAACCGCUGGAAGGAACCCCAUCACCACCCCCCUGCGCACCUCCUUCACUCGGUUUAGCCCGCGGAAAUCACACUACGCGUCGAUGGGCAACACCUCGAAUGCAUCCUCCAUUUACCCGGGAAGAAUGAGUGCCAAGGACCGGAGACUCCUCAAGAUGAUACUGGUAAUCUUCGUGUGGUUUGUUAUCUGUUAUUUACCCAUCACGGUGGCCAAAAUAUGGAAAAGCGCCACCGAGGUGCACUGGUUCAAUAUUGCCGGCUAUCUGCUCAUCUACUUGACCACCUGCAUCAAUCCGCUGAUCUACGUGUUGAUGAGCUCCGAGUACCGAAGGGCCUACUGGAACCUGCUGCGCUGUCAUGGCUCUCCAGACUCCCAGAAGCAACGGAAUCAGGCCCAUGCCAAGCGGAAGCACCUGGAGUCCAAUCGGCAGGUGAAGGCCACGACGUGACUCCAAGAGAUGCGAAGUAUCCCUGCCUCAACACCUUCAUCGUCCUCCGUCCUAGCGGGAUAUGAUAUAUGUAUGUGUGCCAUAGGGUAAUAUGACGGGAGGAGUACCCUAAUGUCAUGUUGAGUGAUCUGCGGAU